UACAGAGGGUGCGAGCGUUAAUCGGAAUUACUGGGCGUAAAGCGCGCGUAGGCGGCUUUGCAAGUCGGGUGUGAAAUCCCCAGGCUUAACCUGGGAACUGCAUUCGAGACUGCAUUGCUAGAGUAUGGGAGAGGGAAGUGGAAUUUCCGGUGUAGCGGUGAAAUGCGUAGAUAUCGGAAGGAACAUCAGUGGCGAAAGCGGGUCUCUGGACAGUUCCUGACGCUGAGGCACGAAGGCUAGGGGAGCAAACGGG
rnacentral:rRNA from 1 species